rnacentral:tRNA from 1 species
GUUUUUAUAGUGUAUAAAACAUUUUACUUUUUCGUUGUAAAGCUGAAAUAAUAAUUUCUAAAAACA